rnacentral:rRNA from 1 species
UUAAGAAUCUUGCACAAUGGGGGAAACCCUGAUGCAGCGACGCCGCGUGGAUGAUGAAGGCCUUCGGGUUGUAAAGUCCGGUAGACAGGGAAGAAUAAGCGCCGGGUAAUAUUCGGCGUGAUGACGGUACCUGUUGAAAGCCCCGGCUAACUACGUGCCAGCAGCCGCGGUAAUACGUAUGGGGCAAGCGUUGUUCGGAAUUAUUGGGCGUAAAGGGCGUCUAGGCGGGGGAUUAAGUUAGGUGUGAAAGCCACGGGCUCAACCCGUGAACUGCAUCUAAGACUGGUUCUCUUGAGUUCGGGAGAGGAGAGCGGAAUUCCAGGUGUAGCGGUGAAAUGCGUAGAUAUCUGGAAGAACACCAGUGGCGAAGGCGGCUCUCUGGCCUAGAACUGACGCUGAAGCGCGAAAGCGUGGGGAGCAAACGGG